ACGGAAGGCAGCAGUGAGGAAUAUUGGUCAAUGGGCGGAAGCCUGAACCAGCCAAGUCGUGUGAAGGAUGAAGGUAUUAUGUAUUGUAAACUUCUUUAGCCAGGGGGCAAUAAGGCGUACGCGUACGCCGAUGAGAGUACCUGGAGAAUAAGGAUCGGCUAACUCCGUGCCAGCAGCCGCGGUAAUACGGAGGAUCCGAGCGUUAUCCGGAUUUAUUGGGUUUAAAGGGUGCGCAGGCGGCUUUUUAAGUCAGUGGUUAAAUCGUGACGCUCAACGUCAUCACGCCAUUGAUACUGGAGAGCUUGAUUGCGGUCGAGGUUUGCGGAAUUCGUCGUGUAGCGGUGAAAUGCAUAGAUAUGACGAAGAACACCGAUUGCGUAGGCAGCAGACCAGGCCGUAAAUGACGCUCAUGCACGAAAGUGCGGGGAUCGAACAGGAUUAGAUACCCUGGUA
rnacentral:rRNA from 1 species